CAGCAGCCACGGUAAUACGGAGGGGGCUAGCGUUGUUCGGAAUUACUGGGCGUAAAGCGCACGUAGGCGGCUUGGUAAGUUAGAGGUGAAAGCCCGGAGCUCAACUCCGGAAUUGCCUUUAAGACUGCCGAGCUAGCAGGUGAGAGAGGUAAGUGGAAUUCCGAGUGUAGAGGUGAAAUUCGUAGAUAUUCGGAAGAACACCAGUGGCGAAGGCGGCUUACUGGCUCAUACUGGACGCUGAGGUGCGAAAGCGUGGGGAGCAAACAGGAUUAGAUAUCCCCGUAGUCCCUGUCUCUUAUAC
rnacentral:rRNA from 1 species